rnacentral:rRNA from 1 species
GAUGAACGCUGGCGGCGUGCUUAACACAUGCAAGUCGAACGGAAAGGCCCUGCUUUUGUUGGGUGCUCGAGUGGCGAACGGGUGUGUAACACGUGAGUAACCUGCCCUUGACUUUGGGAUAACUUCAGGAGACUGGGGCUCAUACACGAUAGGAGAUCCUGCUGCAUGGUGGGGGAUGGAAAGUUUCGGCGGUUGGGGAUGGACUCGCGGCGUAUCCGCCUGUUGGUGGGGUAGGUGAUUACCAAGGGUUUGACGGGUAGCCGGCCUGAGAGGGUGACCGGCCACACUGGAACUGAGAAACGGUCCAGAUUCCGACGGGAGGCAGCAGUAGGGGAUCUUAGGCAAUGGGCGAAAGCCUGAAGGAGCAGCGCCGCGUGAGUGAUGAGAGUCUUCGGAGCGGAAAACUCUGUUAUUAGGGGAGAACAAAUGUGGAAGUAACUAUGCACGUCUUGACGGUACCUAAUAAGAAGGCAACGGCUAACUACGUG